UACGGAGGGAGCUAGCGUUGUUCGGAAUUACUGGGCGUAAAGCGCGCGUAGGCGGCUUUGUAAGUUAGAGGUGAAAGCCCCGGGGGCUCAACCCCCGGAACUGCCCUUUAAAAACUGCAUCGCUUGAAUCCGGGAGAGGUGAGUGGAAUUCCGAGUGUAGAGGUGAAAUUCGUAGAUAUUCGGAAGAACACCAGUGGCGAAGGCGGCUCACUGGACCGGUAUUGACGCUGAGGUGCGAAAGCGUGGGGAGCAAACAGG
rnacentral:rRNA from 1 species